rnacentral:rRNA from 1 species
UACGUAGGGUGCGAGCGUUGUCCGGAAUUAUUGGGCGUAAAGAGCUCGUAGGCGGUGUGUCACGUCGUUCGUGAAAACCUGCAGCUUAACUGUGGGCGUGCGGUCGAUACGGGCAUCACUGGAGUUCGGCAGGGAGACUGGAAUUCCUGGUGAUAGCGGUGAAAUGCGCAGAUAUCAGGAGGAACACCGGUGGCGAAGGCGGGUCUCUGGGCCGGAUACU